rnacentral:rRNA from 1 species
UAUUACUGCCAACCCAUUAACAGUAUUGAAUAAUUUCAUAAAUUAUGAAAACUACCAUGCUAGAACUAGUAACAAGAAAAUGAAUUUCUCCAAAGUGUAAAUAUAAACCAAAACGGACAACCCAUUGGUAAUUAACGACUCUGAACCCAUUAUAGCAAAAUAUCUAGAAAACCCUAUACUUAAUACCGUUAACCUUACACAAGAACUCUUCUGGAAAGAUUAAAAAGGAAGAGAAGGAACUCGGCAAAUUUUAACCCCGCCUGUUUACCAAAAACAUCGCCUCUUGCUUAGUUAUAAGAGGUCCCGCCUGCCCAGUGUUUCAAUCAACGGCCGCGUGAUCUAAACGCGCGAAGGUAGCAUAAUAAUUUGUUCUUUAAAUGAGGACUUGUAUCAAUGGCAUCACGAGGGUUAUACUGUCUCCUCUCCCCAAUCAGUGAAACUAAUCUCCCUGUGAAAAAGCAGGAAUAAAAACAUAAGACGAGAAGACCCCAUGGAGCUUAAAACAAGGCAGCAAUUCAAUAACAAAAUCAGAACAAUCUUAAGCCCUGUAUGCCAGUUUUAGGUUGGGGUGACCACGGAGCAAAGCAAAGCCUCCACAACGAGAAGGGAUUAUUCCCUUACCCAAGAGACACGCCUCUAAGAAUUAUUAAAAUAACGUCUAAUGAUCCGAUUAUCGACCAAUGGACCAAGUUACCCUGGGGAUAACAGCGCAAUCCACUCUGAGAGCUCCUAUCGACGAGUGGGCUUACGACCUCGAUGUUGGAUCAGGAUAUCCCAGUGGUGCAGCCGCUACUAAAGG